UACGUAGGGUGCAAGCGUUGUCCGGAAUCAUUGGGCGUAAAGAGCGUGUAGGCGGCCCGGUAAGUCCGCUGUGAAAGUCCAGGGCUCAACCCUGGGAUGCCGGUGGAUACUGUCGGGCUCGAGUCCGGAAGAGGAGUGUGGAAUUCCUGGUGUAGCGGUGAAAUGCGCAGAUAUCGAGGAGGAACACCAAUGGCGAAGGCAGCACUCUGGGACGUGACUGACGCUGAGACGCGAAAGCGUGGGGAGCAAACAGG
rnacentral:rRNA from 1 species